GCCUGGGUGGCUCAGUCAGUUAAGCGUCCGACUUCAGCUCGGGUCACGAUCUCACGGUCCGUGAGUUCGAGCCCCGCAUCAGGCU
rfam:Felis catus breed Abyssinian Contig140624.1, whole genome shotgun sequence. [26-MAY-2016]